rnacentral:rRNA from 1 species
AGCCUGCCCACUGAAAUUUUUAAAUGGCCGCAGUAUACUGACUGUGCAAAGGUAGCAUAAUCAUUAGUCUUUUAAUUGAAGGCUGGUAUGAAUGGUUGGACGAGAUAUUAACUGUUUCAUAAAAAUUUAUAAUAGAAUUUUAUUUUUUAGUCAAAAAGCUAAAAUUUAUUUAAAAGACGAGAAGACCCUAUAAAUCUUUAUAUUUAAAUAAUUAUUAUUUUGUAGAUUUAUUUUGUUAUAAUUAUUGAUAAUAUUUUAUUGGGGUGAUAUUAAAAUUUAAUGAACUUUUAAUUGUUAAAAUCAUUAAUUUAUGAAUAAUUGAUCCAUUAUUAGUGAUUAAAAAAAUAAGUUACUUUAGGGAUAACAGCGUAAUUUUUUUGGAGAGUUCAUAUCGAUAAAAAAGAUUGCGACCUCGAUGUUGGAUUAAGAUAUAAUUUUAGGUGUAGAUGCUUAAAUUUUAAGUCUGUUCGACUUUUAAAUUCUUACAUGAUCUGAGUUCAAACCGGCGUAAGCCAGGUUGGUUUCUAUCUUUAAAAA